GGCUGCAUACUUGGUUCAUCUGGGCAUGCUCAGACUAUGGAGAUAUAAAGCUCAAGAACACAACAUGCGUGCUUUCGAGGAGCAUAUCAUUAUUCAGGAAGGCAAGACACCAGUGAAUGAAAAGAAAACUCACUUUCUGCAAUAGCGCAAAAGAGCAGUGAAGAUGGUGCUCAGAUGAACUGUAAGUGUUCAGAUGAGGGAAACCAUGGAAGACGUCAUGGAGGAGGUGAGACUUGUACAGGAGGUGAGAGUGAGCUGUUGGGAAGAUAUUCAGAAUUGAGGGGCAAAGAGAUGGGUAGUUUUCAUGGGUGGACUUCAGGAGAUUUGUGAUCCAUCUGAAUUUACACACAAACAUCCAUGUAUUUGUAUAUUUUUCUGGAAAGAGCAACCCAUU
rnacentral:lncRNA from 1 species